AAUCAACGCUGGCGGCGUGCCUAACACAUGCAAGUCGAACGCGAAAGUGGAGCAAUCCAUGAGUAGAGUGGCAAACGGGUGAGUAACACGUGGGUGACCUGCCUUAGAGUGGGGGAUAACGUCCCGAAAGGGACGCUAAUACCGCAUAACAUGCUGCCUUUUAAGAGGUGGACAUCAAAGCCGGGGACCGCAAGGCCUGGCGCUUAAAGAGGGGCCCGCGCCUGAUUAGCUAGUUGGUGGGGUAAUGGCUCACCAAGGCAACGAUCAGUAUCCGGCCUGAGAGGGCGGACGGGACACACUGGGACUGAGACACGGCCCAGACUCCUACGGGAGGCAGCAGUGGGGAAUUGUUCGCAAUGGGCGCAAGCCUGACGACGCAACGCCGCGUGGAGGAUGAAGAUCUUCGGGUUGUAAACUCCUUUCGAUCGAGACGAAUGGCCCUUGGGCUAACAUCCUGAGGGAGUGACGGUACCGAGAGAAGAAGCCCCGGCUAACUCCGUGCCAGCAGCCGCGGUAA
rnacentral:rRNA from 1 species